UGAUAAGUCUAAAAAGAGCCAAUGGUC
rnacentral:piRNA from 1 species